rnacentral:sRNA from 1 species
GCCGGGUGUGGUGGCGCACACUUAUAAUCCCAGCAGCUCGGGAGGCUGAGGCAGGAGGAUCGCCAGUUCAAAGCCAGCCUCAGCAAUGGUGAGACACUAAGCAACUCAGUGAGCCUCUGUCUCUA